rnacentral:rRNA from 1 species
CAGCCGCCGCGGGAAUACAGAGGGUGCGAGCGUUAAUCGGAUUUACUGGGCGUAAAGCGUGCGUAGGCGGCUAAUUGAGUCGGAUGUGAAAUCCCCGAGCUUAACUUGGGAAUUGCAUUCGAUACUGGUUAGCUAGAGUGUGGGAGAGGAUGGUAGAAUUCCAGGUGUAGCGGUGAAAUGCGUAGAGAUCUGGAGGAAUACCGAUGGCGAAGGCAGCCAUCUGGCCUAAUACUGACGCUGAGGUACGAAAGCAUGGGGAGCAAACAGGAUUAGAUACCCCCGUAGUCCCUGUCUCUUAUAC